AAGUCGUAACAAGGUUUCCGUAGGUGAACCUGCGGAAGGAUCAUUAUUGAAAUUAUAGGCGAGGGUUGUAGCUGGCCUUUCGGGGCACGUGCACGCCGGAGCCCUUAAUCCAUACACACCUGUGAACUUAAUGUAAGGGUCCGUAAAAAGGCCCCUACGUCUUUCAUCAUAAACCCAGUCUAAUAGAAUGUAAUCUAUGUCCUCGCCCUAAAAAAGCGUUGAUAAACUUAUACAACUUUCAACAACGGAUCUCUUGGCUCUCGCAUCGAUGAAGAACGCAGCGAAAUGCGAUAAGUAAUGUGAAUUGCAGAUUUUCAGUGAAUCAUCGAAUCUUUGAACGCACCUUGCGCUCCUUGGUAUUCCGAGGAGCAUGCCUGUUUGAGUGUCAUUAAAUUCUCAACCCCGAACCUUUUGGUUUCGGGGCUUGGACUUGGAGCGUGCUGGCCUUCCGGGGUCGGCUCCUCUCAAAUGCAUCAGCGGAAUCUAACCUUUGGUUUCCGGAAGUCGGUGUGAUAAUCAUGUUGCGCCGUCGUCUGACCUCAAAGUCCGCUUACAAUGGUCUUUGGACAACUUAUCAAAUUUGACCUCAAAUCAGGUAGGACUACCCGCUGAACUUAAGCAUAUCAAUAAGCGGAGGAAAAGAAACUAACAAGGAUUCCCCUAGUAACUGCGAGUGAAGCGGGAAAAGCUCAAAUUUAAAAUCUGGCGGUCUCGCGGCCGUCCGAGUUGUAAUCUGGAGAAGCGUUUAUCCGCGUCGGACCGUGUACAAGUCUUCUGGAAGGGAGCGUCAUAGAGGGUGAGAAUCCCGUCUUUGACACGGACUACCGAUGCUUUUGUGAUGCGCUCUCGAAGAGUCGAGUUGUUUGGGAAUGCAGCUCAAAAUGGGUGGUAAAUUCCAUCUAAAGCUAAAUAUUGGCGAGAGACCGAUAGCGAACAAGUACCGUGGGGGAAAGAUGAAAAGCACUUUGGAAAGAGAGUUAAACAGUACGUGAAAUUGUUGAAAGGGAAACGUUUGAAGUCAGUCGCGUCGGCCGAGACUCAACCUCGCUCCUUUGCUUGGUGCACUUCUCGGUUGACGGGUCAGCAUCAAUUUCGACCGUCGGAGAAAGGUUGAGGGAACGUGGCAUCUCUCGGGAUGUGUUAUAGCCCUUGAUUCGGAUACGACGAUUGGGAUUGAGGUAUGCAGCGUGCCUUUAUGGUCGGGGAAUCAACCCACGUAACACGCUCAGGAUGCUGGCAUAAUGGCUUUAAGCGACC
rnacentral:rRNA from 1 species